CCUACGGGGGGCAGCAGUAAGGAAUAUUGGGCAAUGGGCGGAAGCCUGACCCAGCCAUCCCGCGUGCAGGAAGAAGGCCCUAUGGGUCGUAAACUGCUUUUGUUUGAGAAGAACAGGACGCAUUUAUGCGUUUGUGACGGUAUCUUACGAAUAAGCACCGGCUAACUCCGUGCCAGCAGCCGCGGUAAUACGGAGGGUGCAAGCGUUAUCCGGAAUCACUGGGUUUAAAGGGUGCGUAGGCGGCAUGAUAAGUCAGAGGUGAAAGCUUGCAGCUCAACUGUAAAAUUGCCUUUGAUACUGUUGUGCUUGAAUGAGGGUGAGGCAGGCAGAACGUGGCAUGUAGCGGUGAAAUGCAUAGAUAUGCCACAGAAUACCGAUUGCGAAGGCAGCCUGCUGGCCCUGAAUUGACGCUGAGGCACGAAAGCGUGGGGAUCAAACAGGAUUAGAUACCCUAGUAGUC
rnacentral:rRNA from 1 species